rfam:Crassostrea gigas strain 05x7-T-G4-1.051#20 contig10851, whole genome shotgun sequence.
GCUGAUGUGGUGUAAUGGUGCACACAUUCCUUUGAGAAUGAAGAGUGGGUUCAAAUCCCACCAUCAGCA